rnacentral:tRNA from 1 species
CCCCGGUUAGCUCAGUUGGUAGAGCACUCCGCCAGUCUCGGAGAGGUGCCGGGUUUGAAUCCCGGGCCGGUCG